GACGAACGCUGGCGGCGUGCUUAACACAUGCAAGUCGAACGGAAAGGCCCUGCUUUUGUGGGGUGCUCGAGUGGCGAACGGGUGAGUAACACGUGAGUAUCCUGCCCUUGACAUUGUGAUAACUUCAGGAAACUGGGGCUAAUACCGGAUAGGAGCUCCUGCUGCAUGGUGGGGGUUGGAAAGUUUCGGCGGUUGGGGAUGGACUCGCGGCUUAUCAGCUUGUUGGUGGGGUAGUGGCUUACCAAGGCUUUGACGGGUAGCCGGCCUGAGAGCGUGACCGGCCACAUUGGGACUGAGAUACGGCCCAGACGCCUACGGGAGGCAGCAGUGGGGAAUAUUGCACAGUGGGCGGAAGCCUGAUGCAGAGACGCCGCGUGCGGGAUGACGGCCUUCGGGUUGUAAACCGCUGUCGACUGUGACGAAGCGUGAGUGACGGUAAUGGGUAAAGAAGCACCGGCUAACUACGUG
rnacentral:rRNA from 1 species